UACGUAGGGUGCAAGCGUUGUCCGGAAUUAUUGGGCGUAAAGAGCUUGUAGGCGGUUUGUCGCGUCUGCUGUGCGAAAUUUCGGGGCCUCAACCCCGAACUUGCAGUGGGUACGGGCAGACUAGAGUGUGGUAGGGGAGACUGGAAUUCCGUGGUGUAGCGGUGAAAUGCGCAGAUAUCAGGAGGAACACCGAUGGCGAAGGCAGGUCUCUGGGCCAUAACUGACGCUGAGAAGCGAAAGCAUGGGGAGCGAACAGG
rnacentral:rRNA from 1 species